AGCUGCUCCGCCGUCGUGACACUGAACGUCUUUCAUGAGGCAGAAAGUCUGAAUGUGUAUCAAGUCUGUUCCUCACACAAAUGAUCGCAUAUUCUCUCAAAAGAGUCAUAUAAAACUACCUAAAUGGUAGGUAAGUUAGCUGUUCACAAGGCUGUACGGAAAAAUAGCGAGAAGUUUGUGUUCCUGAGAAGAAAUGAAGUGACACGACGUAAGGAGUUUUUUGGACACCAUUAAAGAGCAUGACCAGCUUGUAUCAAGACAGAAACGAGACAACAUCCGACAGCACUCUGACGUGACGUCAUUCGCUGACAACGAGUGUGACGUGACAUCAUCUUUAAGGAGUCGACGUCUGCUCUUUGUAAAGCAAACACCAGCAUGACAAGGAACUCUCAAACAAGUUUUGUUCCGGUUUGGAAAAACAAAUCAAGUAAAUGAUGAGUUUUUAUUUUUGGGGGAACCAUGACCUUAAAUGUACCGUAAAUUUCCCUAGAGGUUGUAAAAUAUGACUAAUUUAUCAUCUCUAAACCUUGAAUAACAAAGGAAACUGUGAAACUGUCAAAAAAAAAUUCAACGCCCAUUCAGACAAAAGCAAUUGCAUGGAAAAACACGUCAAUGAAACAAAAUAGCAUGCUUAUUGU